GGGUUGUGAGGUUAAGCGACUAAGCGUACACGGUGGAUGCCCUGGCAGUCAGAGGCGAUGAAGGACGUGCUAAUCUGCGAUAAGCGUCGGUAAGGUGAUAUGAACCGUUAUAACCGGCGAUUUCCGAAUGGGGAAACCCAGUGUGUUUCGACACACUAUCAUUAACUGAAUCCAUAGGUUAAUGAGGCGAACCGGGGGAACUGAAACAUCUAAGUACCCCGAGGAAAAGAAAUCAACCGAGAUUCCCCCAGUAGCGGCGAGCGAACGGGGAGGAGCCCAGAGCCUGAAUCAGUGUGUGUGUUAGUGGAAGCGUCUGGAAAGGCGCGCGAUACAGGGUGACAGCCCCGUACACAAAAAUGCACAUACUGUGAGCUCGAUGAGUAGGGCGGGACACGUGGUAUCCUGUCUGAAUAUGGGGGGACCAUCCUCCAAGGCUAAAUACUCCUGACUGACCGAUAGUGAACCAGUACCGUGAGGGAAAGGCGAAAAGAACCCCGGCGAGGGGAGUGAAAAAGAACCUGAAACCGUGUACGUACAAGCAGUGGGAGCCUCUUUUAUGGGGUGACUGCGUACCUUUUGUAUAAUGGGUCAGCGACUUAUAUUCUGUAGCAAGGUUAACCGAAUAGGGGAGCCGAAGGGAAACCGAGUCUUAACUGGGCGUUAAGUUGCAGGGUAUAGACCCGAAACCCGGUGAUCUAGCCAUGGGCAGGUUGAAGGUUGGGUAACACUAACUGGAGGACCGAACCGACUAAUGUUGAAAAAUUAGCGGAUGACUUGUGGCUGGGGGUGAAAGGCCAAUCAAACCGGGAGAUAGCUGGUUCUCCCCGAAAGCUAUUUAGGUAGCGCCUCGUGAAUUCAUCUCCGGGGGUAGAGCACUGUUUCGGCAAGGGGGUCAUCCCGACUUACCAACCCGAUGCAAACUGCGAAUACCGGAGAAUGUUAUCACGGGAGACACACGGCGGGUGCUAACGUCCGUCGUGAAGAGGGAAACAACCCAGACCGCCAGCUAAGGUCCCAAAGUCAUGGUUAAGUGGGAAACGAUGUGGGAAGGCCCAGACAGCCAGGAUGUUGGCUUAGAAGCAGCCAUCAUUUAAAGAAAGCGUAAUAGCUCACUGGUCGAGUCGGCCUGCGCGGAAGAUGUAACGGGGCUAAACCAUGCACCGAAGCUGCGGCAGCGACGCUUAUGCGUUGUUGGGUAGGGGAGCGUUCUGUAAGCCUGCGAAGGUGUGCUGUGAGGCAUGCUGGAGGUAUCAGAAGUGCGAAUGCUGACAUAAGUAACGAUAAAGCGGGUGAAAAGCCCGCUCGCCGGAAGACCAAGGGUUCCUGUCCAACGUUAAUCGGGGCAGGGUGAGUCGACCCCUAAGGCGAGGCCGAAAGGCGUAGUCGAUGGGAAACAGGUUAAUAUUCCUGUACUUGGUGUUACUGCGAAGGGGGGACGGAGAAGGCUAUGUUGGCCGGGCGACGGUUGUCCCGGUUUAAGCGUGUAGGCUGGUUUUCCAGGCAAAUCCGGAAAAUCAAGGCUGAGGCGUGAUGACGAGGCACUACGGUGCUGAAGCAACAAAUGCCCUGCUUCCAGGAAAAGCCUCUAAGCAUCAGGUAACAUCAAAUCGUACCCCAAACCGACACAGGUGGUCAGGUAGAGAAUACCAAGGCGCUUGAGAGAACUCGGGUGAAGGAACUAGGCAAAAUGGUGCCGUAACUUCGGGAGAAGGCACGCUGAUAUGUAGGUGAAGCGACUUGCUCGUGGAGCUGAAAUCAGUCGAAGAUACCAGCUGGCUGCAACUGUUUAUUAAAAACACAGCACUGUGCAAACACGAAAGUGGACGUAUACGGUGUGACGCCUGCCCGGUGCCGGAAGGUUAAUUGAUGGGGUUAGCGGUAACGCGAAGCUCUUGAUCGAAGCCCCGGUAAACGGCGGCCGUAACUAUAACGGUCCUAAGGUAGCGAAAUUCCUUGUCGGGUAAGUUCCGACCUGCACGAAUGGCGUAAUGAUGGCCAGGCUGUCUCCACCCGAGACUCAGUGAAAUUGAACUCGCUGUGAAGAUGCAGUGUACCCGCGGCAAGACGGAAAGACCCCGUGAACCUUUACUAUAGCUUGACACUGAACAUUGAGCCUUGAUGUGUAGGAUAGGUGGGAGGCUUUGAAGUGUGG
rnacentral:rRNA from 1 species